UACAGAGGGUGCGAGCGUUAAUCGGAAUUACUGGGCGUAAAGCGUGCGCAGACGGUUGCGUAAGUCAGAUGUGAAAGCCCCGGGCUCAACCUGGGAAUUGCAUUUGAGACUGCGUAGCUAGGGUGCGGAAGAGGGAAGCGGAAUUUCCGGUGUAGCGGUGAAAUGCGUAGAUAUCGGAAGGAACACCAGUGGCGAAAGCGGCUUCCUGAUCCAGCACCGACGUUCAGGCACGAAAGCGUGGGGGAGCAAACAGG
rnacentral:rRNA from 1 species